CCUGGUUGAUCCUGCCAGUGGUCAUAUGCUUGUCUCAAAGAUUAAGCCAUGCAUGUUUAAGCAGAAGCCGCACAACGGUAAAGCCGCGAAUGGCUCAUUACAACAGCCGUCGUUUCUUGGAUCUCUAAUUUUACUUGGAUAACUGAGGUAAUUCUAGAGCUAAUACACGCACUAAAGCUCUGACCUUACGGAACGAGCGCAUUUAUUAGAACAAAACCAAUCGGGUUUCGGCCCGUUCGUUGGUGACUCUGAAUAACUCUGCCGAUCGCACGGUCUCGCACCGGCGACGUAUCUUUCAAGUGUCUGCCUUAUCAACUUUCGAUGGUAGUUUAUGUGCCUACCAUGGUUGUAACGGGUAACGGAGAAUAAGGGUUCGACUCCGGAGAGGGAGCCUGAGAAACGGUUACCACAUCCAAGGAAGGCAGCAGGCGCGCAAAUUACCCACUCUCGGCACGAGGAGGUAGUGACGAAAAAUAACGAGACGGAUCUCUUUGAGGCCCGUUAUCGGAAUGAGAACAAUUCAAAUCCUUUAACGAGGAUCUAGCGGAGGGCAAGUCUGGUGCCAGCAGCCGCGGUAAUUCCAGCUCCGCAGGUGUAUAUCUAUGCUGCUGCGGUUAAAAAGCUCGUAGUUGGGUCUGCGUGCUCGGAACUGGUUGGCUCACUGAGUUCAAACUGGUCUCCGGCGCUUUAUUGGCUGGUUUUCCCUUGAUGCUCUUAACCGGGUGUCUUGGGUGGCUAGCACGUUUACUUUGAAAAAAUUAGAGUGCUCAAUACAGGCGUAAAGCCUUGAAUAGUGGUGCAUGGAAUAAUAGAAUAGGACCUCGGCUCUAUUUUGUUGGUUUUCGGAACGCGAGGUAAUGAUUAAGAGGGACAGACGGGGGCAUUCGUAUUGCGACGUUAGAGGUGAAAUUCUUGGAUCGUCGCAAGACGGACGACUGCGAAAGCAUUUGCCAAGAAUGUUUUCAUUAAUCAAGAACGAAAGUUAGAGGUUCGAAGGCGAUCAGAUACCGCCCUAGUUCUAACCGUAAACGAUGCCAACUAGCGAUUCGCAGGCGUUAAACAACGACCUUGCGGGCAGCUUCCCGGAAACGAAAGUGUUCGGGUUCCGGGGGAAGUAUGGUUGCAAAGCUGAAACUUAAAGGAAUUGACGGAAGGGCACCACCAGGAGUGGAGCCUGCGGCUUAAUUUGACCCAACACGGGAAAACUCACCCGGCCCGGACACCGUAAGGAUUGACAGAUUGAGAGCUCUUUCUUGAUUCGGUGGGUGGUGGUGCAUGGCCGUUCUUAGUUGGUGGAGCGAUUUGUCUGGUUUAUUCCGAUAAC
rnacentral:rRNA from 1 species